rnacentral:rRNA from 1 species
AUACGGAGGAUCCGAGCGUUAUCCGGAUUUAUUGGGUUUAAAGGGUGCGCAGGCGGGAGAUUAAGUCGGCGGUGAAAUUUUGCAGCUCAACUGUAAAAGUGCCUUCGAAACUGGUUUCCUUGAGUGUAGAUGAAGGAGGCGGAAUUUGUGGUGUAGCGGUGAAAUGCAUAGAUAUCACGAGGAGCUCCGAUUGCGCAGGCAGCUUACUAAACUACUACUGACGCUCAGGCACGAAGGCGUGGGGAUCAAACAGGAUUAGAUACCCUGGUAGUCCACGCAGUAAACGAUGAUUACUAGCUGUUUGCGAUACAAUGUAAGCGGCUGAGCGAAAGCGUUAAGUAAGCCACCUGGGGAGUACGUUCGCAAGAAUGAAACUCAAAGGAAUUGACGGGG